rnacentral:rRNA from 1 species
UACGAAGGAUGCAAGCGUUAUCCGGAUUCACUGGGUUUAAAGGGUGUGCAGGUGGGGUAAUAAGUCAGUGGUGAAAGCCCCCGACUCAAUCGGGGAACUGCCAUAGAUACUGUUAUUCUUGAGUGUAGUUGAGGCGGAUGGAAUAUGACAUGUAGCGGUGAAAUGCGCAGAUAUCAGGAGGAACACCGGUGGCGAAGGCGGAUCUCUGGGCCAUUACUGACGCUGAGGAGCGAAAGCGUGGGGAGCGAACAGG